ACGAACGCUGGCGGCGUGCUUAACACCUGCAAGUCGAACGGAAAGGCCCUGCUUUUGUGGGGUGCUCGAGUGGCGAACGGGUGAGUAACACGUGAGUAACCUGCCCUUGACUUUGGGAUAACUUCAGGAAACUGGGGCUAAUACCGGAUAGGAGCUCCUGCUGCAUGGUGGGGGUUGGAAAGUUUCGGCGGUUGGGGAUGGACUCGCGGCCUAUCAGCUUGUUGGUGGGGUAGUGGCUUACCAAGGCUUUGACGGGUAGCCGGCCUGAGAGGGUGACCGGCCACAUUGGGACUGAGAUACGGCCCAGACUCCUACGGGAGGCAGCAGUGGGGAAUAUUGCACAAUGGGCGGAAGCCUGAUGCAGCAACGCCGCGUGCGGGAUGACGGCCUUCGGGUUGUAAACCGCUUUCGCCUGUGACGAAGCGUGAGUGACGGUAAUGGGUAAAGAAGCACCGGCUAACUACGUG
rnacentral:rRNA from 1 species